GAUAGGACUAAGACAUGCACGUCAAGAGUUUUCUAGAUAAUGAGCGAGCGCAUCGUACAGCUCAGUAACACGUGGCCAACCUGCCCUUAGGACGGGAACACCCCCGGGAACCUGGGGUUAAUUCCGCAUAGUGAAGGAGUCUGGAAUGACCCUGUGCUCAAAAGACGUUUAUGUCAUGCUCAUAUUGUUCGCCCAGGGAUGGGGCCGCGACCGAUCAAGUAGUUGGCGAGGCAGGUCCUCACCAAACCUUUUGCCGGUGCGGGCCGUGAGAGCGGGAGCCCGGAGAUGGGCACUGAGUCAAUGGCCCAGGCCCCACGGGGCGCAGCAGUCGCGAAAAUUUUGCAAUACACGAAAGUGUGACAGAGCUAUCCCGAGUGCCAUCCCAAUAGGAAUGCUUUUCACCAGUAUAAAUAGCUGGGAGAAUAAGGAGAGGGCAAGUCUGGUGUCAGCCGCCGUGGUAAUACCAGCUCUCCGAGUAGAAAGCCCCUUUAUUGGGCCUAAAGCAUCGGUAGCCCGUUAGAUAAGUCCUCCGUUAAAUCCGCCGAUUCCAUCGUUGGAUCGCGGGGGAUAGUGUUUGGGUAGGGGACGGGAGAGGUCGACGGUAUUCCCGGGGUAGGGGUGAAAUCCUAUAAUCCCGGGAGGACCACCAGUGGCGAAGGCUGUCGACUAGAACGCGCCCGACGGUGAGGGAUGAAAGACGGGGGAGGGAACCGGAUUAGAUACCCGGGUAGUCCCAACAAUAAACGAUGCAGGGUAGGUGUUCGGGCGGCCGCGAGCCGCCCUAGUGCCGCAGGGAAGCUGUUAAGCCUGCCGCCUGGGGAGUACGGCCGCAAGGCUGAAACUUAAAGUAAUUGGCGGGGGAGCUCCACAAGGGGUGAAGCAGCGGUUUAAUUGGAGUUCACCCG
rnacentral:rRNA from 1 species